rnacentral:tRNA from 1 species
GAACGAAGAACGCGCAGUUGUAGGCUAUGGGGAAGGGAGAGUGCGCCUGCGCGGGAAGUCAAGGCCCGGCGUCCGAGUCAGGCGGAACUCUUUUUCAGGCCCCCGGACGAGGCUGGCGGACAGAGUACUCGGGAGCCGCGUCGAGUCUAGCAUGGCUGCGGAUCCCUGGCUUCGGUCAGUGAGGAGUCCUGGGGACCCGGCCGCGCUCGGCCUGAUGCUCCCAUCGUCAUCCCCGUCACCCCGCGGGAAACGACACCAAAUUAGGUUCCUGCCCGUAUUUUGGGGAUGUACCGGGCAGGUGUGUGGGAGAACGAGGCCUGGGCUUGGCGUGUGUGGCCCAUGGACCUCCUCGCGGGAGUAAGAAGGGCAAAGCCCUGCUCCCUUAACUGUGGAUACUCAAGAAUUAAUUGACAGAAAAUCUGUUUUUAAAUACUUUGGUUUCUAAGGCAUGUCCGGACUAGAUGGGGCGUAGUUGUUUUUGUUUUUUAAAUCGGAAUGUUAAAACUUGGAUUGAAAUAUUCAUGUUAUGACCUUUAAGAAAUCUUUAAUCGCUCAGUAAAUAUACUAUACUAAAUUGAAUGUAUUUGGAGGACCAGUCAGACCUCAAAGGACACACAAACCUGUUAAGAGUGGAUAGAGACUUGAUUUCAAAAGAUCCUUUGCUAACAAAUCGAGGUACAAAUGAUUACAAGCUAGUUGGGUACAACACAUACACAUUAGGCAUCAAAUUGGAGUUGCUCAAUUUGGUAAGGGAGGUAAGAUUUUUAGUCACUAAAGUUCUAACACAUAGUCGUACUAUUUUUCUUCAGGUUUUCUAUCAGAUGAUCCAUCGUAAUAAUGCUGGUACCUCUUAAGGGAGCAAGUAAAGGGAAGUGAUGUCAAGAAAGCUGUAUUCAGGUGGUAUGAAAGGUAAUGUACAGCUUGGGAGGAAAAGGAAGAGACUGACACAGAAAAGUCUUGCAGUAAGUCAAGGUAGAAGUGAUAAAGACCUCCUAAGCAUGCUGUGAGUGAGAAGGAAAACGAAGAGAUAUAUAAACCAGAUGCAGGCUUCCCUGGUGGCUCAGUGGUAAUGAAUCCUCUGCCUGCCAAGGCAGUAGACAUGGGUUUAAUCCCUGAUCUGUGAAGAGCCCACAUGCUGUGAAGCAACUACACCCACACACCACAACUACUGAGCUCCAGAGCCCAGAAGGCACAACUAUUGAAACCUGUAUGCUUUCGAGCCUGUGCUCUACAACAAGAGAAGCUGUUGUAAUGAGAAGCCAGAGCACUGCGACUAGAGAGUAGCCUCUGCUGUCCGUAACUAGAGAAAAGCUCGUGUGCACAAUGAAGACCCAGCACAGCCAAAAAUAAAUUAAUUAAUUAAUAAAAAAAUAAACCAGAUGCUUUGAAUUUGAAAAUGAAGAAAAGCACAAAACUUUUAGAUCGUGUUCUACAGGAAGGCACUGUCUGUGGAUUGUCAUUUAUAUAAUUUCUUGGAGAACUCUGAGCCCUGAGCGAGUUUUUAAAGCAAAUUCCAAAAGUCUUACUUAUAAUCUGCUCAUAUUUUCACUGGUAUAAAAUAUUGAGUACCUGUUAUGUGGCAGACACUAUUUUAGGAAUACUAGAAUGAAUGGGGGAUAUACAGUGAGCAAAACACAAAAUCACUGCUUUCAUGGAGUUUAUGUUCUAGUUGGACAUGAGUUUGGGUGAACUCCGGGAGUUGGUAAUGGACAGGGAGGCCUGGCAUGCUGCGGUUCAUGGGGUUGCAAAGAGUCGGACAUGACUGAGCAACUGAACUGAUGUUCUAGUGGGAGAAAUCUCACAAUGAACUAAAAAAUAUGCAGAAUAUAUGAUAUUAUAGAUGGUAAUAAGGAUUAUGAAUUAAAGCUGGGAAGGGGAAUAGGGAAUAACAGGUAGGAUGUGGAGAUAAUUUUAAAUAGUUUGGUAAAAAAAAAGACCUUGUUAAGAAGUUGAUAUUUGAGCAAAAAAUCCAGGAGAGGUGAGUGACCAGUAUUUCAUAUAGUAUUUUCGGGAAAAGAGCUGGGCAGGCAAAAGGAAUAGCUAGCAGUGAGACCCUGAGGCAACCCAUUCCUGGUGAGGGGAGAUGCUGGGCUGGGUAAGGGGGUGCUGGAGACCCUUGUAAGUACUUUGAUUUUUACUGAAUGAAAUAGAGAGUCAUCGGACAGUUUUAAUCUGUGACUUAGGAGAGUAUAUGUCUGUCUUGGUUGAUUUGAGCCAGUGCUCUUACUUUUUCUGGGUCCCUGCUGGCUCAGAUGGCAAAGAAUCUGCCUGCAAUGUGGGAGACCCAGGUUUGAUCCCUGGGUAGGAAAGAUCCGCUGGAUAAGGGAAUGGCUACCCACUCCAGUAUUCUUGCCUGGAGAAUUCUAAGGACAGAGGAGCCUGACGGGCUCUGUUGUCCAUGGGGUCCCAAAGAGACAGACACGACUGUGUGACUCACACUUUUCAGCCAGAAGAAUGGCUUCCCUGGUGGCUCAGACUGUAAAGUUCCACCUGUGGUAGGAGACCUGAGUUCAAUCCCUGGACCAAGAAGUUCCCCUGGAGAAGGGAAUGGCAACCCACUCUAGUAUUCUUGCCUGGAGAAUCACAUGGUACUUUCUCUAGCCAGAAGAAUUGGGUUUCUUUUUUUUUUUUUCUAAUUGAAAAAGGCCCUAGUUUAUUAUCUUCUGCCUUGUAUUAAUUUUAUCUGAAAUUUAGCUUUAACUGUGGCACCCAAAAACAUAUCCUCAGUGAACCACUAUCUUUUAAAUGACCCUCCCUCAAAGAGUAGUAAGCUAGUUCCUAUUUUGAGAAUGAGCCAGUGGUCUUUCAUGUGUUUUUUGAACAAGUACCCCAAAAGUAACAUAUAGACUCACUUCCACAUUUUUAGAUUGAUAUUGAAAACUUUUCAUUAUAAGUUAAAACAUUUUCCAAGGUUGUAAUUUCUAGAAUAUUAUAAAUAAUGACUUUUUAGUAGACUUUAAAAUAACUCUUUAAAAUCUAUUUAGUGAAAGCCAACUACAGUUAUUUGAAACCUACCAUAGUUCCUUUAAAAAUACAUAAACAAGUUGUUCUUUAACAGUGGGAAAUUUUUAUCUUAUUGUUUUUUAAAGAUUUAUUAUUUAUUUUUGGCCGUGGUAGGCCUUGGUUGCUGCAUGCAGGCUUUCUCUAGUUGUGGCUGCUGCUGCUAAGUCGCUUCAGUCGUGUCCGACUCUGUGUGACCCCAUAGACCGCAGCCCACCAGGCUCCCCCGUCCCUGGCAUUCUCCAGACAAGAACACUGGAGU